CUGAGACCUGAUGCCGAGCCGAUUGUGGUGAAGUGGAUGAUCCUAUGCUGUCGAGAAAAGCCUCUAGCGAGUUUCAUGGCGGCCCGUACCCCAAACCGACUCAGGUGGUCAGGUAGAGAAUACCGAGGCGUUCGGGUGAACUAUGGUUAAGGAACUCGGCAAAAUGCCCCCGUAACUUCGGGAGAAGGGGGGCCGGAACUGGUGAUCGGAUUUACUCCGUGAGCUGGGGCCGGCCGCAGAGACCAGCGAGAAGCGACUGUUUACUAAAAACACAGGUCCGUGCGAAGCCGUAAGGCGAUGUAUACGGACUGACGCCUGCCCGGUGCUGGAACGUUAAGGGGACCGGUUAGUCACAUUUCGGUGUGGCGAAGCUGAGAACUUAAGCGCCAGUAAACGGCGGUGGUAACUAUAACCAUCCUAAGGUAGCGAAAUUCCUUGUCGGGUAAGUUCCGACCUGCACGAAUGGCGUAACGACUUCUCGACUGUCUCAACCAUAGGCCCGGUGAAAUUGCAUUACGAGUAAAGAUGCUCGUUUCGCGCAGCAGGACGGAAAGACCCCGGGACCUUUACUAUAGCUUGAUAUUGGUGUUCGGUUCGGCUUGUGUAGGAUAGGUGGGAGACUUUGAAGCCGUGACGCCAGUCAUGGUGGAGUCGUCGUUGAAAUACCACUCUGGUCGUGCUGGAUGUCUAACCUGGGUCCGUGAUCCGGAUCAGGGACAGUGUCUGGUGGGUAGUUUAACUGGGGCGGUUGCCUCCUAAAGAGUAACGGAGGCGCCCAAAGGUUCCCUCAGCCUGGUUGGCAAUCAGGUGUUGAGUGUAAGUGCACAAGGGAGCUUGACUGUGAGACCGACGGGUCGAGCAGGUGCGAAAGCAGGGACUAGUGAUCCGGCGGUGGCUUGUGGAAGCGCCGUCGCUCAACGGAUAAAAGGUACCCCGGGGAUAACAGGCUGAUCUUCCCCAAGAGUCCAUAUCGACGGGAUGGUUUGGCACCUCGAUGUCGGCUCGUCGCAUCCUGGGGCUGGAGUAGGUCCCAAGGGUUGGGCUGUUCGCCCAUUAAAGCGGUACGCGAGCUGGGUUUAGAACGUCGUGAGACAGUUCGGUCCCUAUCCGCUGUGCGCGUAGGAAUAUUGAGAAGGGCUGUCCCUAGUACGAGAGGACCGGGACGGACGAACCUCUGGUGUGCCAGUUGUCCUGCCAAGGGCAUGGCUGGUUGGCUACGUUCGGGAGGGAUAACCGCUGAAAGCAUCUAAGCGGGAAGCCUGCUUCGAGAUGAGUGUUCCCACCUCCUUGAGAGGGUAAGGCUCCCAGUAGACGACUGGGUUGAUAGGCCGGAUGUGGAAGCCCUGUAAGGGGUGGAGCUGACCGGUACUAAUAGGCCGA
rnacentral:rRNA from 1 species